AACAGUGCAACAAUUGUUGUUGCUAUCAAUAGUUGGGAAUUUUCUGAAGCGAUGGAAACAUUGGCAAAUUUUGCUUAUCUCGUCAUCAGGUUUCUCGUCCUUGAGAGCUCAAAAUUCAGGUCUUGUAAUAAAAAAAAAACUUGGUAAGAGACAUGUAUUGCAGAUAGUUUCUAAUUCUACACAAACACUCAUUUUAUUUAUUUACCAUUUCUUUCAGAUGUGUAACAGACAUUUGUGUGAGGUUUUAAGAGUCAAGUAGGAGAUUGGAGGCUGAGAAGCUCUGAAGACUGUUUACAGCCUCCUUAGGAGCAAAUCUUGAGAUAUUUUAAGCUCUUCUGCGUGCAUUUUUUAUGUCCGAAAUGCUUCUCAGUAUGAUUUAUGAAGGAAUAUGUGUUUAGAUGUAUAUCUUGAAACAAAAUUUGAGUUCUUAAGAGCAGCAAUUAAGGGGAGGUUACCACAAUUCAGGCAUGAGAUUUAGUUUACCAUGUUUUCCUAGUAGAUUUAGUGAUAGAUAAGUCUAUAAUAAUACCGAUUCGCCUAAAUAGAUGUUUCUGUGGUAAUAAUGUUUUUAAAUAUAAAUUCAUUGAAUUCUAUAAAUGAAGUAAGCUUCAGAAGAGCACAGUAAUAGCUAGGUCGAUAGGGUACUUUCCGCACUGUUUCAUCUGAUUCAUUUCUGUAUUUUUCGCAUCUUUGUAGAAUUUACAAAUAACUGCAUAUCAGACAAGUAUUUCAGGUAAUUUGUAAUGCUAUACAUACACUUAUAUUAAUUUUGCAUGCCUUUUAUUUCAAGUGUAUAAUUACAUUGAAGGUCGGGUAGAAGAUUGUAGACCGAGAAGCUCAGUAGACAGUUCACUGGAUCCUGUAGAGCAAUUUCUGAGAAUUUCUAAGUUAUUCUGCUUGCACUGAUUUGAUGUCUGAGAUGCUUUUAAGUAUGAUUAAUGAAGGAAUAUCAGUUUAGAAGUUUAUCUGAAAACAAAAUUUGAGUUUUACAGAACAGCAAUGCAGGAAAGAUAACAACAAUUCAGACACAGUUUUGCAAUAUUUUCUUAGUAGAUAUACUGAUAGAGAUGUAUAUUAUAAUUAUACCAAUUCGCUUAAACAGAUAUUUACUGUGGCAAUAAUGUUGUAAAAUUUGAAUUAAUUGAAUUUUAUAAAUGCCUUAAGCUUUUUAAGAUCACAAUUAUGGCUAGGGCUAUUGGACGAGCUUUAGGAUAGUUUCCGCACUCUAUCCUAUGAAUAAGUACUAUAUUGUUCGCAUCUUUGUAGAAUUUUUAUACGUAUUGCAUGUAAACAUAGACAUCAAUUUUAGGAACUAGUUUGUCUGAAAUGAAUAUGUUCUUCAAUGUUUGUCUAAAAAAUAGUUUUUUUGCUGAUAUUUCGUCACUAGCAAAAUGGGCAGAAUUUGUGAAUACAUGAUUUAUUCUAAUUGUCACUGUUUUCAAAAGUUUACGCUGGAUUUGUAUAAGAUUUAGUUUCAUUUAGUCUAAAUCAUAAAAUUACUAAACAAAAAAAAAAAUGCCAUACUUUAUGGAUCUGUUUUGUCUCUCUUUAAGGGACAGUAAACAUAAACACUUUACAGCUGUUAGUGACAAAUUGGCCAUGGUCUUUUCAAAUAAGUGGCAAUUGGAUAUUUGUACUGUAAAAUAAUCACUAUUAAUAGAAUUAAAGUUUCGAGGCAGGAAUGGAGCUUCAGUUAUUGAGUGGAAAUCAGUUGUGUGGUCUUCAUCUUGAAAUUAUAAAAUAUAGACUUGCACGUGCUCCUUUAGGUAGCUUAAAUAGGAGCUCUCAUUUUAACAGGGGCCUCAGGAAAAUUGAAAUACUGAAAAAGCGGUAUGGAUUGCACAUACAUUUGAGCUUAUUUUCAAAUUUUAUAGUGUUACUGAAGUACGGAACAGUGAACCGACUAGAGCUAUAAAUUAUAGCAAUUUUCUGCAGCGAUUGAAAUAUUGGCAAAUUUAGUUUUCUGGUCAUCAGAUUUCGCGACCGGGAGAGCAAAAACUUAAGGUCUUGUAAACAGGUAACUAGGUAUAAGACAUGUAUUGCAUUUAGUUUAUAAUUCUACACAAACACUCAUAUAUUUUGCAUGUCUUUUAUUUCAGAUGUGUAGUUACAGACAUUUGUGUGAGGUUUUCAAAGUCAGGUAGAAGAUUGUAGGCCGAGUGGCCCUGAGGACUGUUUACAGCCUCCUUAAGAGCAAACCUUGAGAAAUUAUCUCUCAGAUAACAGAAAUAAAAACGUCUGCCUGUAUGAAAAAUGGAGACUUCUCCCAGUGCCUUCCACCAAAUACUCCUGGUAUCUAAGAACUCUUUCACUUUAGCACAUGAUUUCCAGGUAUGUAGUUAGAGACAGUUUGUGAGGUACAGAAAGUCAAGCAGGCGGUUGUAGGCCGAGAAGCUCUGAAGCAGACGAUUGUACUUUGAGAAUCUUUAGAAUUUAUGUGCAGUUACAGAGAUGUGUGUGAUGUUUUGAAAGUCAAGUAGAAGAUUGUAGGCCAAGAAACUCUGAAGACUCUUUACAGCCACCUUAAGAACAACUCUUGAGAAUUUUGGCAAGAAUGGUGUUUCAGCUUUUGAGUGAAAAUCAGUUGAGUAGCCUUCAUCUGGAAAUUAUGAAGUAUAGACUUGCAGGUGCGAAUGGAUACAUUCCUUUAGAUAGCUUUAAUAAGAGCUCUCAAUUCAGCGUGGGUCUCACGAAAUUUGAAAUAGUGAAAAAACGGUAUGUAUGACACAUAAAUUUGAGCAUAUCUUUACACUUGACCUUUUUACUGAAGUAGGGAACAGUGCAGCAAUCGCUACUAUCAUUUAUAGGGAAUUUUCUGAAGCGAUUUGAUAAUUGUAAAAUUUAGCUUUUCUCGCCUUCAGAUUUCGCGACCGGGAGAGCACAAUACAGCUUUUGUAAGCCGAUAACUAAAUAUAAAAAUGUAUUGCAGAUAGUUUGUAAUGCUACACAAAAUUUCGUAUCAAUUUUGCCUGUCUUUUAUUUUAGAUAUGCAAUUACAGAGAUUUGUGUGAUGUUUUGAAAGUCAAGUAGAAGAUUGUAGGCCAAGAAACUCUGAAGACUGUUUACAGCCUCCUUAAGAACAACUCUUGACAAUUUGUAAGAUCUUCCGCGUGAUUUUUUUUAUGACUGAGAUACUUUUCCAUACCGUAUAGCGGGUUAUUUCUGCGGUCAAAAUAUUCUGCGUUUUGGUCCCAAAAAUUGUGUACGAAAUUUACUGCGUGUUUAAUUUCUGCGUUUUCACAUUAAAGGAAGUGAUAUUUCUGCAUUUUAGAUACCAAGGAGGAGGUAAUU